CCCCCGCGCUUUGAGCACCCCCGACCCGGCUAGCCCGACUCGCGUCCGGGCAGCGCACCUCACGGCGAGUCGUAACACGGGCUCCUGCGAGAGGGUGACAGGGGCUAGGCGGCUCCCCAGCGUCCCUCGCCUUCAGAACUCCCCCUACCCUUGGGGGACUUCGCUGCCUCCGGCCGCGCCAUUGUGACGGAACGGGGAGCACUCGGGGCUCAGGGGGCAGCGGGCAUGGCCGCUCGGGGCCGCCGUAGGCGGGCAGGGCUUUCGCUGCUCUUGUGGCCCCCAUUACAAUGAAAACACUAACUCCCACUCCUUCCCCGGGCUCCCGUGGCGCUGUCCCACACAUCAAGUGGGAGCCCCUGCAUUCACUACCCUCCUUUGAGGCCUGAGCAGAUAGGAGAAAGUUUCUCAAGCCUUUGGCAAACUUGUAAGGAAGGGGUAGAGCUAGAGUCAGAGAAGUAGCCGGCGUUUUCCAGGAGAUCCACAAGGCAAUAAGCUUCCCAAGACAGAAUUGGAACCCAGGUCCUGUCGGUUUGGAACCAGCACUCUGGCCUUUCUUAUUACCCCAUUGGCCCUUCUUCUAAGAGGGCCAACCCUUUCUGUACCUGAGCUCCUCUAUGAUGCCAGCCGACAGCUGCUGCUCCCGGAUGCGUCCCACUUCCUGAGGAGGCUGCCCCACCAGUUCAAUGAUGGUCAUGUGGCGAAGGUCCAGCCCACAGAAAAAGUUUGCCAACCUCUGUUAUAGAGGAAGAAGAAAAGGAGGCCCAGGACAAAGCCUCAGGAGACAGCCAUGGUUCGUGGCCAUGUCACAGGCGAAGAUCCCACUAAGGAGACUGAGAAGGAGUAGUUGUACAGAAAUACAAUAUCCACUCUACACAUGAAGUCAUGCGAAACUCAUUUCUGCAUUAGCCAGGCUCCAGGGAGGAAAAAGCAUGAGAAAUAAAGAGACAAAAAAAAGAAUGCUUGCGUUCUCACUCUGAGUCCAUCAGGGCUCUUUGGAGGUGGCUAGUAUC